GCCUCGUUGGUCUAGGGGUAUGAUUCUCGCUUUGGGUGUGAGAGGUCCUGGGUUCAAAUCCCGGACGAGCCC
rnacentral:tRNA from 1 species